rnacentral:misc_RNA from 1 species
UGACCAUAAGGCUUUGCCUUGCGAUGAGAUUUUGGGAUUGUUUUUGGACAAAUCCAAAUUUCCAAACUGAUUGGCGUCUGAUUUAUUUGGCCAAAAACACAGCGAUAUGUGUUGGAAAACCAUUUAAUGUCUGACUGCUCAACCACAAAUUUACU